rnacentral:rRNA from 1 species
UGGGGAAUCUUAGACAAUGGGGGCAACCCUGAUCUAGCCAUGCCGCGUGAGUGACGAAGGUCUUAGGAUCGUAAAGCUCUUUCGCCGGGGAAGAUAAUGACGGUACCCGGUGAAGAAGUCCCGGCUAACUCCGUGCCAGCAGCCGCGGUAAUACGGAGGGGACUAGCGUUGUUCGGAAUUACUGGGCGUAAAGCGCGCGUAGGCGGGUCAUUAAGUCAGGGGUGAAAUCCCGGGGCUCAACCUCGGAAUUGCCUCUGAUACUGGUGGCCUUGAGUCCGUGAGAGGUGAGUGGAACUCCGAGUGUAGAGGUGAAAUUCGUAGAUAUUCGGAAGAACACCAGUGGCGAAGGCGGCUCACUGGCACGGUACUGACGCUGAGGUGCGAAAGCGUGGGGAGCAAACAGGAUUAGAUACCCCUGUAGUCC